rnacentral:rRNA from 1 species
CCUGCAUGAAGUCGGAAUUGCUAGUAAUCGCGGAUCAGCAUGCCGCGGUGAAUACGUUCCCGGGCCUUGUACACACCGCCCGUCACACCAUGGGAGCCGGUAAUACCCGAAGUCAGUAGUCCAACCUCGUGAGGACGCUGCCGAAGGGUAGGAUUGGCGACUGGGGGUGAAGUCGUAACAAGGUACC